GGGUGAUUGGUCUAGUGGCAUGAUUCUCGCUUUGGGUGCGAGAGGUCUCGGGUUCGAUUCCCGAAUCGCCCC
rfam:Tritrichomonas foetus strain K scaffold_214, whole genome shotgun sequence.